rnacentral:lncRNA from 1 species
AUGACGUGGGCUUUAAUAGUAGGUUUUGGUGAGGAUACUCAAUAGUACAGUGCCCUAGAUCUCUAUAAGCAUAGCAAGAUGAAGGAGUAUACAUGUCAUGUGGUAUGGUUCAUGAUGGCACUCGUGUGAUUUAGAGAGGGUUUGGAAGUAAAAAAAAAAGUCAAAAAACUAAACUAUCUCAUCAUGGUAACCGCCAUACACUCAUAAAAAACUCUUUCCAUAAGCAUAC